GCGGCGGGGGCAUCAGUAUUCAGUCGUCAGAGGUGAAAUUCUUGGAUUGACUGAAGACUAACUACUGCGAAAGCAUUUGCCAAGGACGUUUUCAUUAAUCAAGAACGAAAGUUAGGGGAUCGAAGAUGAUCAGAUACCGUCGUAGUCUUAACCAUAAACUAUGCCGACUAGGGAUCGGGUGGUGCUACUUUGCCCACUCGGCACCUUACGAGAAAUCAAAGUUUUUGGGUUCUGGGGGGAGUAUGGUCGCAAGGCUGAAACUUAAAGGAAUUGACGGAAGGGCACCACCAGGAGUGGAGCCUGCGGCUUAAUUUGACUCAACACGGGGAAACUCACCAGGUCCAGACGUAAUAAGGAUUGACAAGUUAGAGACUUCUCUUGAUCUUACGGGUGGUGGUGCAUGGCCGUUUUUAGUCCUUGGAGUGAUUUGUCUGCUUAAUUGCGAUAACGGACGAGACCUUAACCUGCUAAAUAGGGCUGCGAGCAUCUGCUCGGGUGCUCUUCUUAGAGGGACUAUGGGUAUCAAACCCAUGGAAGUUUGAGGCAACAACAGGUCUGUGAUGCCCUUAGACGUUCUGGGCCGCACGCGCGCUACA
rnacentral:rRNA from 1 species